ensembl:lncRNA
CUUUGUGACAACCACAACAAUAAACUCAUUCAGAAAUUUUGGGGGCACUAUGGAGUCAACUGGCCAAAACCUAAAAGAAAUGACCAAAGGAUUAUAAAAUUUGGGCAAAGUGUGAUGAGUAUGCCAAAUUUCCCUGAUUUUCAUGCACUACAAGGGUGUCAAAUUUGCGUUCAAAACCUUGGUAGCGCUAUGGAGCUCAGGCAGCACACCUAUCCUAAACGACAAUAUCAAGUGAAAAAUUGACCUAAUAGAAAUGUAAAGUUUGAUGCAUUUUCAGCCAUUGUAAGCCUCUCAAAACAACGUGUUUGAAAACCCGACAUUCCAGCCAACAUGGCAGACUUCCUGUUGAGCAGAGUCAGAUACAACCAAGUGAAACUUGUUGUACAUGAGUGCAACAACCAUACCAAAUCUUCUGCUCCUCCGAGAAAAUUAAUCAAAUUCCAUUCCACCUUUCGGGGGCACUAUGGAGCUGCUAAACCACAACCAAGUCUUUUUACUACAUGUUUUAAUUUUCACCAGGUAUAACAUAUCAGGUCUGCUGAAUUUCAUUCAUAUUGAAGCAUCACAAAUGCCUCAAACAUUAGUGAAAGUGCUAAAUAAAAUAAUAAUGAUAAACACACACAAAACAAUAGGGCUUUGCACCUUUGGUGCAGGCCGCUCUGCUGAAGCCUACCAGGUUUAAUUACAAUUGAUCAAAGGAUGGCCGAGAUACAGCCUCUGAUCCAAUUUUGCGUCAACAUCGUUAAAUUUGCGACAUCAUAACUUUUGAACAUGUAUGAAUAUAAAAAUUGUUUAGCUGUUUGAACGAUGAGUAAUGAAAAAACUGUGUAUCUGUACAUUUCAAAGUGGUGACUACUGUAAUGGAUGGAGUCUUAAUGUAAGAUAUGGAUUGUGAUCAGCAUGAGGAGAGAAAUCUGUUCGACUAAAUUUCUUUUCUCUAGGACAAACUGUUCAACAAUUAUAACUAUUUGAAAAGUGAAUGUUUGAACUAGUGGUGGCACGAUACAGUUGGUCCUAGAGAUCCCAUGAUUGGUCCAGAUACUACUCAUGGUCAUAUCUAUGCCUGUGCCAAAUUUCAUCAUUUUCCUCCUUACAGAUCAUAGGGCUGCCAUAGACUCCUAUUAGGGAAGAAGAAGAAGAAGCAGAAUAAUAAUAAUAUAGCUGCAAACAACGAUUAAUGGGGUCAAGCCCCAAAGGCACAGCGAGCGCAAUGUGGAGCCUGAAGAACACAAAGAGGUGAAAUAGAAUGUACAUGAAUGAAUGAAUAAACUGAACUGAAGCUUGUUGUUUAUCAUAGUGCACCACACGGAGAAUGCACGUUUAUUUUGAUGCUGAAGAGAGCUUCCAAGAUCAUCUGAGCCAAUUUUGCUACGAAUUGAACAAAAUUCAUCAUUUUCCUACUUAAGAUUCAUAGGGCUGCCAUAGACUUUCACUGAGGAAGAAGAAGAAGAAUAGGAAAACUAACGGAUACAAUAGGUGCCUACACAUCUUUGGUGCUUGGCCCCUAAUAAUAGGAAAACUAACAGAUACAAUAUGGGCUGACCCCUAAUAAACGGAGCAGAUCCAAUAGGGCCUCUCACCAUCGGUGCUCAGGCCCUAAUAAUAAUAAGUAGAGAUGCACUGAUGUAUAGUUUGAAAACAUCCGAUGAUCAGGGCCGAUUAUAUCCUGUCAAUCAAAAGAGGGUGGGAAAACGCAUCAAUUUCAUGCUGUGUGUAAAGAUGAUGUCUCUUGUGUGGAAUGACGACAAAACUGCAGUUUGUAAGCUCUGCACCUCAAAAAUUUUACACCGGAAGUGAGCAGCACUGAAGCGGCGUCGAGUCUAAUUCCCCCUAAUAACCCCCCCACCCCAGCGCUACUCCUGCGCUUCUCCUGCUUUUCAAGCAUGAAUUGCCUGUUUAAGGUUCUGCCACAGCAUCUAAGUCGGUUCAAGUCAGAACUUUGACUAGGCCACUCCAAAACUUUAAUUUAGCUUUUUUUUGAGCUGUUCAGAGGUGGACUUACUCCUGUGCUUUGGAUCAUUGUCUUGAAUUAUUGUCUAUACUUGUGUAGACCUGUGCUGUUAAUUUAUGCAGUUGACGUUCAACUUUAAAACGUCUACAAAUACAGUCUGGUCAUAAGUAUUUGGACAGCCACACAAUUUUUAAAAAUCAUUUUUAGAAGACCACGGAAGACAACUAAAGUGGGUGAUUGCAGAAUUCUUUCCUUGGUGAAGACAAACCCCUUCACAAUACAUCGCCAAGUCAAGAACACUCUUGAGGAGAUCAGACUGUUGGAAACUCCGAAGCAAAGACCAGGAAACUCUGGUAAAGCUUCAGCAGGAUUAUUUAUUGUAGAACACCAGGAGCAUCAGUCUACAGGUAAGAACGUGCUAUCUUGCACUACAGUCAUCAAGUCUGAAAGCAAUAAGCUAUACAUUGUAGUUUUUUUUUUUAAUACAUUUUGGGGGGCAGUGCUUAGAGGGGGAGACAGAGCACUCAGGUGACGACCUUAAACAAUGUAUGCAAAGGAACCCACCCCAGGCUCUGGAGUUUCACCAGUCCUAAUCCAAUCAGCAUAAUUAUAUAACUCAGACAACUUCAUUGUCAUAGAGAUAAAGAAAAGUCCACACCUAGGUACUAAACAUUUACACUUAAGUAAAGUAUUGAUGAUCAUGAACAAUGGCCAAUAAUUCAAAGAAUGGGACCGGGGCACCAAGAGCCAUCACAGACAAAAAGUGAUAGCCUCAGUUACCAUGUUUUUAAAUUUGUAUUCCCACAAGACUCUCCGGCUAGGAAUUUUUGGUAUCCAUCAUCAGUGUCCGUGAAUGAUGCAUGUUUGUAUACUUUAAGCAUUUAAAUAAACAUAAAUAAAAUAGUCAACAGGCACCAUGAAUGCAAC